AUUGAACGCUGGCGGCAGGCCUAACACAUGCAAGUCGAGCGGGAACUUCGGUUCUAGCGGCGGACGGGUGAGUAAUGCGUAGGAAGCUACCCGAUAGAGGGGGAUACCAGUUGGAAACGACUGUUAAUACCGCAUAAUGUCUACGGACCAAAGUGUGGGACCUUCGGGCCACAUGCUAUCGGAUGCGCCUACGUGGGAUUAGCUAGUUGGUGAGGUAAUGGCUCACCAAGGCGACGAUCCCUAGCUGGUUUGAGAGGAUGAUCAGCCACACUGGAACUGAGACACGGUCCAGACUCCUACGGGAGGCAGCAGUAGGGAAUAUUGGACAAUGGGCGCAAGCCUGAUCCAGCCAUGCCGCGUGUGUGAAGAAGGCCUUCGGGUUGUAAAGCACUUUCAGUAGGGAGGAAGCGUUGUGUGUUAAUAGUACACAGCGCUGACGUUACCUGCAGAAGAAGCACCGGCUAACUCUGUGCCAGCCGCCGCAGUAAGAC
rnacentral:rRNA from 1 species